rnacentral:rRNA from 3 species
AAAUUGAAGAGUUUGAUCAUGGCUCAGAUUGAACGCUGGCGGCAGGCCUAACACAUGCAAGUCGAGCGGUAGCACAGAGAGCUUGCUCUCGGGUGACGAGCGGCGGACGGGUGAGUAAUGUCUGGGAAACUGCCUGAUGGAGGGGGAUAACUACUGGAAACGGUAGCUAAUACCGCAUAACGUCGCAAGACCAAAGUGGGGGACCUUCGGGCCUCAUGCCAUCAGAUGUGCCCAGAUGGGAUUAGCUAGUAGGUGGGGUAACGGCUCACCUAGGCGACGAUCCCUAGCUGGUCUGAGAGGAUGACCAGCCACACUGGAACUGAGACACGGUCCAGACUCCUACGGGAGGCAGCAGUGGGGAAUAUUGCACAAUGGGCGCAAGCCUGAUGCAGCCAUGCCGCGUGUGUGAAGAAGGCCUUCGGGUUGUAAAGCACUUUCAGCGGGGAGGAAGGCGAUAAGGUUAAUAACCUUGUCGAUUGACGUUACCCGCAGAAGAAGCACCGGCUAACUCCGUGCCAGCAGCCGCGGUAAUACGGAGGGUGCAAGCGUUAAUCGGAAUUACUGGGCGUAAAGCGCACGCAGGCGGUCUGUCAAGUCGGAUGUGAAAUCCCCGGGCUCAACCUGGGAACUGCAUUCGAAACUGGCAGGCUAGAGUCUUGUAGAGGGGGGUAGAAUUCCAGGUGUAGCGGUGAAAUGCGUAGAGAUCUGGAGGAAUACCGGUGGCGAAGGCGGCCCCCUGGACAAAGACUGACGCUCAGGUGCGAAAGCGUGGGGAGCAAACAGGAUUAGAUACCCUGGUAGUCCACGCCGUAAACGAUGUCGAUUUGGAGGUUGUGCCCUUGAGGCGUGGCUUCCGGAGCUAACGCGUUAAAUCGACCGCCUGGGGAGUACGGCCGCAAGGUUAAAACUCAAAUGAAUUGACGGGGGCCCGCACAAGCGGUGGAGCAUGUGGUUUAAUUCGAUGCAACGCGAAGAACCUUACCUGGUCUUGACAUCCACAGAACUUAGCAGAGAUGCUUUGGUGCCUUCGGGAACUGUGAGACAGGUGCUGCAUGGCUGUCGUCAGCUCGUGUUGUGAAAUGUUGGGUUAAGUCCCGCAACGAGCGCAACCCUUAUCCUUUGUUGCCAGCGGUCCGGCCGGGAACUCAAAGGAGACUGCCAGUGAUAAACUGGAGGAAGGUGGGGAUGACGUCAAGUCAUCAUGGCCCUUACGACCAGGGCUACACACGUGCUACAAUGGCAUAUACAAAGAGAAGCGACCUCGCGAGAGCAAGCGGACCUCAUAAAGUAUGUCGUAGUCCGGAUUGGAGUCUGCAACUCGACUCCAUGAAGUCGGAAUCGCUAGUAAUCGUAGAUCAGAAUGCUACGGUGAAUACGUUCCCGGGCCUUGUACACACCGCCCGUCACACCAUGGGAGUGGGUUGCAAAAGAAGUAGGUAGCUUAACCUUCGGGAGGGCGCUUACCACUUUGUGAUUCAUGACUGGGGUGAAGUCGUAACAAGGUAACCGUAGGGGAACCUGCGGUUGGAUCACCUCCUUA